AAAUGAAUAGACGGGGGCUCACACAAGCGGUGGAGCAUGUGGCUCAAUUCGAUGCAACGCGAAGAACCUUAUCCCGGGUUUGACAUGCAGGUAGUAGGCGGCCGAAAGGCUUACCACUGGUAUCCAGUCCAGAGCCUGCACAGGUGCUGCAUGGCUGUCGUCAGCUCGUGCUGUGAAGUGUUGGGUUAAGUCCCAUAACGAGCGAAACCCUUGUCCUUAGUUGCCAUCAGGUAAAGCUGGGAACUCUAAGGAGACUGCCGGUGUUAAACCGGAGGAAGGUGGGGAUGACGUCAAGUCCUCAUGGCCUUUAUGCCCGGGGCUGCACACGUGCUACAAUGGCGACCGACAAAGCGAUGCAAGACCGCGAGGUGGAGCAAAUCGCAAAAACGUCGCCCCAGUUCGGACUGUAGGCUGCAACCCGCCUACACGAAGCCGGAAUCGCUAGUAAUCGCAGAUCAGCUAUGCUGCGGUGAAUGUGUUCCUGAGCCUUGUACACACCGCCCGU
rnacentral:rRNA from 1 species